GCAAACUUGGUCAUUUAGAGGAAGUAAAAGUCGUAACAAGGUUUCCGUAGGUGAACCUGCGGAAGGAUCAUUACUGAAGAAAUGUUAGGGUUGAGCUGACUCUUAGGAGUAUGUGCUCGCUCUAUCACUUUUUCUCCUUCUCCUCCUGUGCACCUCUGUAGGCUAUGAAAACUUUACUUGAUCUUUCAAGAUUGAGUGAUGAGGAACUUGUGAGUUUGGCUUGCAUGUCCUUGCCUUCAUAGUCUAUGUUUUACAAACUCUAUAAAGUCUAGAAUGUUGAUUGUUGGUCUUGAUUGACCGAUAAAAUGUCUAUACAACUUUCAGCAACGGAUCUCUUGGCUCUCGCAUCGAUGAAGAACGCAGC
rnacentral:misc_RNA from 1 species